GGUCUGCAGAAAAUAUAUACCCUUACAACCUUUUCUUUCAUGUUAAUUUUAAUAUCUUUAAGAUAUGUGACAAGGGUGCUCUAAUGCAGAGGAAUUUAUGAAGUUAAGAAGUCCGAAAUAUAUUUUUUGCACUUUUUUUGUCAUUUUUAGCUGAUUUUGGUUUGUAACCAAGGUGAUAUUUUUUAAAGAAUAAUUUUACAAAAGGCAUAGUUGAAGAACAUCUUGUUGAAAUUGGAUUGGUUGAUUUUUGGUGUUAAACACCACUUUAACAUGAUUAACUAUAAUAUUAGCUGUAAAUUUUUAUUUGUGGAGACAGCCAGAGUGCCUGGUGAAAACAUCACCUUCAUCAGGGAAACGGGCAAACCCUAGUCAAAUUAAGAAUGAAGUUACACAUUUCAUGUGAGGGUUCUCAGUGUUGACAGGCUAGUGAUACAGUAGUUGAACUACUUAUAGGACCACUCAGCCACCAUAAGUCGAUCAGUACGAAAUAUUUUAUUGAAAUGUGUUAGAUUUUUGUUAUCAAUCUAUUUUUUAAUUUUAAUUGUGCUAUUUUAUUUAUUUUGUUUAAUAUAACAAGGAUGUGGAGUCUGAACAGGGUGAAAUUUGGGUCAAAGGGAGGCAAUUUAUUAUGCCCCUGUUUAUAACUCCACAUACUUAAAAUUCCCUCAAUGUUAGGAUUUUCAUCUACUUGGAUAUUCAUGUUUGUACAUUUUUUUUAAAAUAUCAGAUGUAUACUAGCUAAUAUUGACUAUUAUUUAGAGCUCUGUAAUAAAAAAAAACAAAAUGUAAGCAGAGCUCUAGAUAAUAAGUAUGCAGGGUCGGAGAAAUCUUGGGUCAUUAACAAUUGAUUUGCUGAAAUUUUCAAGAAAGGGGAUUUAUUGGAAAUGCAUCUGAUAUAUUUAAUGUAUAAAACUAUAUUUAAAAAAAAAAGAUGUUAAGAUGAUGAGGAGAGCCACCUUGUCAGCCGGGAGAGCAGCUCUAAGGGAGAUGGUCAAUUUAAUCUUUACCAAGUCUGAGGCUUUACCAUGAAAAAUAUGUGGUUGUUAUAAUGAUGAUGUUUUCAUGGUGUUGGGAGUAAGACUUGGAUGUCUGAUAUUGUUAACAUGUUGGUUAUCAUCAGGUUUCCAUUGGGUUACUUGCUGGGAUAAAGCUGUUAUAAGUCGAAAGAGUUGCUGUAGCUGCCUUCCUUGUAUGGUAAAAUCCUCAGACUACAAUCCUGCAAACCAUUAGAUGAACUGUUGCUAUCUUUUGUAAAAAAAUCAGCAGAUAUUUGUCUUA